GUGGGGAGACCGAGCUGAGUCAGAGCCUCCUUUUCUCCAAGCCCUUUGAGGCAAAUAUGAAAAAUAUUUGGCUCAUUCCAUAUGCAAACCUCUAACCCAGGGCACCUUCACUAUUUAUUCCUUUUCCCUCUAGGAUCUUUGUCCCCGUGUAUUUGGGAGUGGGAACAGAGGACCGUGGCUAGGUGCAUCAUAUGCCGCCAGAAAUGAACAUGCAGGACUCAGAGAGUCAACAUUUCUCGAAAAAAUCCUUCCCCCUCUCCAUGUGAAGACAAUAAAAAGCAAUUAGCACAUCAAUAGAGGAUAUUAUUUACAUAGUCAAAAAUUUUGCAAAGUAAUCAUAAAAAGUUAGGGACCCGCUUUACAUACUUAGGUGAUACUAGUAUAAAGACUUGUAUGAGGCUGGGAAAACACCAUAUUCAGGUCAGAGGUCCCCUCACCAUGUGACAGGGCAGGCAUGAUUGAUGAGGGGCACACAGGAUGUAUUGGGGAUGCUUGUUUCUUCAUCGGCUGCUGGGGACAUUUAUUAUUCUCUGUGUCUGUGUCUGUGUGUGUGUGCAUGCUGGGGUUGAAUGCAAGGAUGCUCUACCACUGAGUCACAUCCCUAGUUCUUUUUAUUUUAUUUUAUUUUGAGACAGGGUCUUACUAAGUUACUGAGGGUCUCCCUAAGUUGCUGAGGCUGGCCUUGAACUUUACGAUCCUCCCACCUCAGCCUCCUGAGUUGCAGGGAUGACAGGUGCAGACCACCACACCCAGGGGUUAAAACCACCACAAUCAGAGAGGUAUAUUCACGUGGCCAAGUUCAUGUGUCUGAUCAGUGCUGGAGGUUGAGCUGAGCACCGUGGUGCAUGCCGGUAAUCCCAACGACUCAGGAGGCUGAAGCAGGAGGAUUGCAAAUUCAAGGCCAGCCUCAGCAAUUUAUCGAGGCACUAAGCAAGUCAGGGAGACCCUGUCUCUAAAUCAAAUACAAAAUAGGACUGGAGGUGUGUCUCAGUGGUUAGGUGCCCUGGGUUUAAUUCUUAACCUGGUUGACUUCAGACUACAAGCCUGGUACAAAAAAAAAAAAAAAAAAAAAAAAAAAAAAAGAAAAAAAAAAGAAAAGAAAAGAAAAAGAAAAGAAAGAAAGGAAGAAAAAAGAAAGAAAGGAAAAAAAAAAGGUUCGAUGGCCUAAUCUCUGAAGUUCCUCCUGGUUCUGCCAAUUGGCCACUCUCAGAUUGGCCACGCAGCACACCCAGGCUAUUCAUGAGGAACACAGCUCCAUGCUGUGCGGGUCGCACGUGCUCGCUGUAUGAUUUUAGAUAAUAGUUGCACAGAAUUAAUAGAAGCCAGAAGAAUUGUUUAGAAGGCUAUUUUUUAACUGCACGGAUUGGGCCAUAUAUUCAUGCACAUAAUUACCCUUUUUCUCCUCCUUUGCAAUCUUGGAGGGAUGUUAGAAAUUGAGCAGGGAUUUCUUUCUCCUCCCCUUGGCACCAGGAGCCGGCUGAUGUGGCUUUAUGUUAAUUUGAAGAAACUCUAACUGGCAUCACUAAAGAGAAAGACAAGAAUCGGCUUGUGAAAAGCGCGUUUUCAUCGCUUACCUGAAUUGGAGCUUCAGACGUGCUCCUGGCAAUUUCCGCAGUCCCCUGGGGACUGCUUGUUCUGUGCCUGCUGUAAGGUUGACUAGGGAAGGACCCACCCUGAGCAUGGCUCUUGGUAAAACAUCUCAAACACCCAU
rnacentral:lncRNA from 1 species